rnacentral:rRNA from 1 species
UACGGAGGGUGCAAGCGUUAUCCGGAUUCACUGGGUUUAAAGGGUGCGUAGGAGGGCAGGUAAGUCAGUGGUGAAAUCUCCGAGCUUAACUUGGAAACUGCCGUUGACACUAUCUGUCUUGAAUAUUGUGGAGGUGAGCGGAAUAUGUCAUGUAGCGGUGAAAUGCUUAGAUAUGACAUAGAACACCAAUUGCGAAGGCAGCUCGCUACACAUAUAUUGACUCUGAGGCACGAAAGCGUGGGGAUCAAACAGG